rnacentral:piRNA from 1 species
UAAGGGUGUCCAUGGAUUCCUAGGACUACA